rnacentral:tRNA from 1 species
GGGCCUGUAGCUCAGUCCGGUAGAGCACCGCCCUUGCAAGGCGGGGGCCGCGGGUUCAAAUCCCGCCGGGUCCA